CGAUAGCGAACAAGUACAGUGAUGGAAAGAUGAAAAGAACUUUGAAAAGAGAGUGAAAAAGUACGUGAAAUUGUUGAAAGGGAAGGGCUUGAGAUCAGACUUGGUAUUUUGUAUGUUACUUCUUCGGGGGUGGCCUCUACAGUUUAUCGGGCCAGCAUCAGUUUGGGCGGUAGGAGAAUUGCGUUGGAAUGUGGCACGGCUUCGGUUGUGUGUUAUAGCCUUCGUCGAUACUGCCAGCCUAGACUGAGGACUGCGGUUUAUACCUAGGAUGUUGGCAUAAUGAUCUUAAGUCGCCCGUCUUGAAACACGGACCAAGGAGUCUAACGUCUAUGCGAGUGUUUGGGUGUAAAACCCGUACGCGUAAUGAAAGUGAACGUAGGUGGGGGCCCGUAUGGGUGCACCAUCGACCGAUCCUGAUGUCUUCGGAUGGAUUUGAGUAAGAGCAUAGCUGUUGGGACCCGAAAGAUGGUGAACUAUGCCUGAAUAGGGUGAAGCCAGAGGAAACUCUGGUGGAGGCUCGUAGCG
rnacentral:rRNA from 1 species